rnacentral:rRNA from 1 species
UACAGGGGGUGCAAACGUUGCUCGGAAUCAUUGGGCGUAAAGAGCUCGUAGGCGGUUUUUCGCGUCUGCUGUGAAAACCCGAGGCUCAACCUCGGGCCUGCAGUGGGUACGGGCAGACUAGAGUGCGGUAGGGGAGAUUGGAAUUCCUGGUGUAGCGGUGGAAUGCGCAGAUAUCAGGAGGAACACCAAUGGCGAAGGCAGAUCUCUGGGCCGUAACUGACGCUGAGGAGCGAAAGCAUGGGGAGCGAACAGG